rnacentral:misc_RNA from 1 species
AUAGACAAGCGUGUAUCCAUGAAAAAGAGUGAUAAGAACAUCAGUGGAGGUGAUGGUCUACAAUCCAACUUGCAUGCUUCAAAGGUUUUGGUUUCGUCUUCAUCUCCUAUGGCUAACGUUUGUUGCUCCAUUGAAAUGGAGCCUAGAACCUUGAGAGAAGGCCAGCUAACCCAUGCUAGGGUAACUUCUUUAUAAUUUAACUUCAGUUCUUCUCUUUACUGAUAAGUUAGCUAGGGGUUGAAAAUUAAAAGGUUAGUAAGUGCUACAAUUGUAGAAAAUAGGGAAAUUAUUAUCAGUACAAUGUUAACUGUAUCUGUUUUCUUAAGCUUGACCUAUUCAUUAUUGUGAUGCUCGCAGGAGGUGGCUGCAGAUGUAGUGCAAAAGAUGGAACCCAAAGAAGCCUCCAAUGUAUUCAUUGAGGUACGUCAACUUUCAUGUAAACCUUUUUAAACCCCUUAGAUUCUGCAUCAUAAUAUGUUUCAAAGAAUGUAAAUCAUUCGCGAAAAUAUAAUUGUACUGCUACUGAAUUUUGUUCAAUAGUACAGAAUAAUAUUUUCAGAAUUUGGAAAAUAAAGAUUUGCAUGUCACUGUUUUUUAUAAUUUGUUUCUGCAGGGAUUGAGGUCAAUUCCAAAAAUGAAAGUAGAAGAAAUGGAGGAAAAUGAACAUCAACAGAAGCACAAACUUCUUGUUGUUGAUUGCAAUGAAAAGGCUGAACCUGAAAUGAUUGAAAGUCCUUGCCAAUGCUCACUCGAUAGGAGCAACAUAGAAAUGGAAUCCCCAGAACAAACAAUUAAGGAGCCCCUUUCAGCCCCGUUUUGAUUUCCAUUUGAUUAUGCUUUUGGAUGGAUGCACGUUUAUUAUUCACUAGAUGACUUGGUUUAGUUUAUGUGAAGAAGCUUGCAAUUUGUAAUAUUUAUACUUCUUAUUAGGUUUGGUUUGCCAUAUGUUUCUUCAAGAAAAAUCAAUUAUGAAUUUCAUCAAGUUAUGGGAUUUUAGUUGUUAAAGAAGUCACUAACAUAAGUCGGUUUGCUAUAGUGGUGAAUAUUUAAUUAAUAUAUUUCAUGGAUUGAUUAAGCGUUGGAUUCAUAAAAUCUGAUAGUUUGUGGAGAGCAUCACUUUGCACAUUCAACGUUCGAAUGUAAUUUAAUAUCCAUAGUCCAUUGAUUGGUUUUGUUAUAAAAAUUGAAAGUCG